GUCUCUGUCACGCAAUGGAUUGUGUGUUGGACUUCUAAUCCAAAGGGCGGGGUUCGAAUCCCACCUGGGAUG